rnacentral:rRNA from 1 species
GAAAGGCGCGCGAUACAGGGUGACAGCCCCGUACACAAAAAUGCACAUGCUGUGAGCUCGAUGAGUAGGGCGGGACACGUGGUAUCCUGUCUGAAUAUGGGGGGACCAUCCUCCAAGGCUAAAUACUCCUGACUGACCGAUAGUGAACCAGUACCGUGAGGGAAAGGCGAAAAGAACCCCGGCGAGGGGAGUGAAAAAGAACCUGAAACCGUGUACGUACAAGCAGUGGGAGCACGCUUAGGCGUGUGACUGCGUACCUUUUGUAUAAUGGGUCAGCGACUUAUAUUCUGUAGCAAGGUUAACCGAAUAGGGGAGCCGAAGGGAAACCGAGUCUUAACUGGGCGUUAAGUUGCAGGGUAUAGACCCGAAACCCGGUGAUCUAGCCAUGGGCAGGUUGAAGGUUGGGUAACACUAACUGGAGGACCGAACCGACUAAUGUUGAAAAAUUAGCGGAUGACUUGUGGCUGGGGGUGAAAGGCCAAUCAAACCGGGAGAUAGCUGGUUCUCCCCGAAAGCUAUUUAGGUAGCGCCUCGUGAAUUCAUCUCCGGGGGUAGAGCACUGUUUCGGCAAGGGGGUCAUCCCGACUUACCAACCCGAUGCAAACUGCGAAUACCGGAGAAUGUUAUCACGGGAGACACACGGCGGGUGCUAACGUCCGUCGUGAAGAGGGAAACAACCCAGACCGCCAGCUAAGGUCCCAAAGUCAUGGUUAAGUGGGAAACGAUGUGGGAAGGCCCAGACAGCCAGGAUGUUGGCUUAGAAGCAGCCAUCAUUUAAAGAAAGCGUAAUAGCUCACUGGUCGAGUCGGCCUGCGCGGAAGAUGUAACGGGGCUAAACCAUGCAC